CUGUGCAAGAAACACUUGGAUGAACUUCAAAAAACGAAAGUUGGGCUAUUUUAUGGCAAUUGUUGUCACGAAUCCCGUUUCCUGAGUCUGUUUUUUGCCUGUGUUCUGUCCUGGAGUGUUUUUUCCGGCAUCCUGGAACGCACCCUGUCUGGUUGCCGGGCAAUGUAGCCAGUUGGGAGUUCUGAUUACCCGCACCUGUAUCCCAUCAGCUAUCUGCACACCUGGUCCUGAUCAUCAUAUCUCCUCUUCAUAAGCCCGGACCUGACAUCCAUUCCCUGCCGGAUCGUUAGCCAUGAACAUUACUCACCCGGAUCAUUUACCCCAUUCCCGCCUGGUCAUCGGAGGAUUCCGCUACCCCAUUGGAUCCACCUAUUUACUCCCAUCAACUCACCACCGCUGCCCGCUACGCCACCUGGAUAUAUCUACCCAUUCACAUUCACUUGUAAAUAAAUACUCACCUUCUUCCUAC